UAAAAGGUUUUAUUUAAAAACCACACAAAAUGGCUUUAAAAACAUCU
rfam:Lepisosteus oculatus linkage group LG24, whole genome shotgun sequence.